AAAGGGAGACCUAAUUCAGGUAGGAGACGAGAAAAAGUAGUCCCUACCAAGAAUCAAUCCCAAAAGGUCGGAGCGAGGCAAAAUUGGCUUUCAAACUAGGUUCUGGGUUCACAUAAGACCUGAAUCAGGAACAAGGGCUAUUAGCUCAGGUGGUUAGAGCGCACCCCUGAUAAGGGUGAGGUCCCUGGUUCGAGUCCAGGAUGGCCCACCUGCACAGGUGGCAAAAACAAAGAAAAGAAGCUCCGAAUCAGCACCUUAUCUUACUCAUAUAGUAAGAGAGAAUGCUGGCUCUGAGUUCAGAGUCCAGAGGAACCUUGAAAACUGCAUAGAGCUAGGUGAAAAAGCCAAAAAAGAAGACCGCAAG
rnacentral:tRNA from 1 species